GCAGGUGUGGCGGAAUUGGCAGACGCACCAGCCUUAGGAGCUGGCGUCACUGACGUGCAGGUUCAAGUCCUGUCACCUGCA
rnacentral:tRNA from 1 species